ensembl:lncRNA
AUCCAGUUUCAGCUAGUUUCUGGACGUAGGCCUACUGAUUAAAUAUUUACGUUAGUUACAGUGUGUUCUGAAGGAAUUGAGUGACUUACAUCGGACACAUUCAGAAGCCUGCAUUGAAUUUUCAGUAACUGAGAAGGCUAAUUUGUCCUCUAAUUCUCUAGACAAUACAAGCAAAGCAGCCAUGCCGAAAAGAAGCAAAGUAAGUUGGAAUGUUUACCUUUUAAUUUAAACCUUAUUUUACAAUGUAUAAUUUCUCACAUGAAGUGUUUUUAUAAAUAUCUGCAACAAUCGCAUGUACUCUAAAAUAUGCUUGAUACAAUGUAACAAGUUUUCUCUAAAGUAUGAAUGUGUUUUAGUGUGUCUGUCUUGUCGAAAUGGAAGUGGCGCCUUUUUACUUAGUGUGGUAACAUUUUGCUUUCGUUCUCACUUUCUCAUUUUAGUAACCUGUAACGUUACAUGAUAAACUAUCGCAGCUUGUGCUUUUUAUAUAAGUUACUUAAUCAUAUAAUUUAAUUUGACGCAUAUCGGGUCUUUCAUGAAUGUAAAGUAGCUUUUAAUAGCCUUCUCAGCAAUGAGAUCAGACAAAGGGGUGUAACCCACCUGCAAUGUAACUAAACUACAUGUUGCCAUUGCAGAAAUGCGUGCAUGAUCUAAAGGAUAUUUUGUGAAUAUUGGGAUUGCUUUAAUCGCCUAUAUAUUUGGUUCACGUUUAUAUUCAUAUACUUUUAAUAGCCCAUGCCUGUGGCAUCCUAUAUUAUCACUUUGUGUCCUGUGUGCAGUAAAGCGUAUUGUAAUGCGCGACACCCUAUGGCACGGAAAGGUACGAUCUUUGAAGUGUCAUGGCAGCCCUUGCAAAUAGGAAAGGCAUCGACAACUCGGCGCCAUGUAUCACUUUAAUGGGGUUUUAGAGAAAGUAAUUCUAAAGAAAACGACCACGUGAUUCAUAGCUGGUCACGUGUUCAGUUUUUGGGGAUUUGCUAUUAUUUUGUGUGCAUUCCCUGCCUUUGCUUCCCUAACAAAUGUUGCAUUAUGUAACAGCGAAUUUCUGAAGACAUACUCCACAGCGCAUAUGGGUAAACUGGUAUCGGAGAAUUAUAGAUAUUCAACUAAUGGCGGGAACAUACAGUUGACUGGUUGACGUAACGUGUGGAUGGAUGCCUUCAUAUUACAAAUCUCCGUCGGUUGAUGGGGGAGGGGCUGUUUAUUGGCCUUUAUGCGUAUGGGCUACUAAAGCCUAACUAUAACAUACCUUUUUACUUGUCACUCUCAAGGUAGUUGGUACCAUAAAGGCUCCAUUUUGCACCAUGACAAUGGGAAAAGUCAAAUGGCAUAGUAAUGUUAAAUGUUUACCCUCCCCCACUCACUUUCAGAUUACAUAAUUUGUAUCUAAUUUGGGGAUGAAGCAGUGGGGGGGUACAGUUUGUGAGCCCAUCCCCCUUAGCAUUACACACCCACUUCUCCCUGCAGCUCCCGACCUAUGAUUGUGGGAUUGUUGUUCUUGGUUUUUACUAAGAAUUUUACUUCUUCUCUCCCACCACCCACUCACAGGCAAAUAAUGACACUGAAGUUGAGGUUAGUAUUUAAUGCUCUUAUACAAUUUUAUAUUAUGAAUAACUUAUUUUUUCUGCAAUAGCUGAUUUAACUAUCUUUUUCUCACCAGCCAAAGAGGAGAUCCACGAGGUUAUCAUCUGUAAGUUUGCUAUAUAUUAUCAUAUUUAUGUUGUAUAUCCUGUUUAUGUUUUCUAUGAAUAGAUGCUAUUGUGUAUUUGUAAUUGGACUAAUUAUCUAAUAUGCAUUAUUUUACAGAAACCCACUACUCCAGCUAAAGCAGAGCCUAAGGCAAAGACACCAGUCAAGGCAGCAGCCAAACCCAAAAAGGUAAAGGCGGUAGUCGAGAAGUCCAAGCCUGAGGAGAAGAAAGAGGAUCCUGAGGAAGAAGCAACACCGGCAGAAAACGGAGAGGCCAAAGCUGAGGAGGUAAGACUUGUUACCUUAGUUUCAAUUAUACGAUAUGCCAUGCCAGUGAUAUACAACAUUCAAAAUCAGGAGUAUUGGGUAUUACAAACAGACCAACAAUAAUUGGCAUUGCAGCUGUUUGUACCCCACACACAAAUAGUGUAAACAACUAGACCUAAAAGAACUGUUCUGUAAUAUGGGAACGUAACUUUUUCAUCCGCCAGGAGGCAGCAGAAGAGGAAGAUGCUGAUGCAGACGAGCCUGAGAAAGAGGAGGAUGAGGCAGAAUAACAUCCUUACCCUUUUGCCAGUGCUCCCUGUACCUCCUUUCUUGUACAAUUCAGAAGAAUAUUUUUAUCAACUAUUUUCUUAAGAAAAAGCAGGUUGUGUAGUAGUAAGAUUGUAGAAACAAUUUUAUUUUUUUUUUACCUCUGGAAGAAAGGUUAUGGUCAUUGUGUGUUUCCCUUUUCUUUUGUGGUCUGGUUCAGUUGUCAGUGGGAGGGGGGCAGGUUUGUAGCAAUGACAUGCAAUCACGCCAAUAUCAGGAACUUGUUAUUCAACUGGGAGCGCUUGUCUGACACUAACAUUCCAUAGGCUUUAUGAGGGACAGUUUAUUUAACCUGUUGUAUGGAGAAGGGUUGGGGGUUUAUACACAAUAAUACUUGUUUUAUUGUUUAUAUUGGGUAGGACGGUGGUAAUUCUGUUUUAAACUGUGCCCUAUGAAUUUUUAAACUAUUGUCCACAUUGUAUUAUGUAUCCACAGUUAUGGUUAAUUCUCCCUAGUUCAUGUACUGGAUUUUUCAUCAGGCCUGUGAAAUGGUUUUUGUCUCUGUUCGGUGAAGGCAUUGCAAUAACAUUUGAUAUAGCUGCUGUGAAACUGUUAUUUUUUUUCAUAAUUUCUAUGCAGUAUGUAAUGUAAUGGUACGAUUUGAGGAUGGUUCGUGUUUUUAGCCAAGCUAAUAACAUGAAAUACAUUACAGUGUUAAACAUACUGGUUGUAGCUUAUCCUUUUGAGGAUACUGAUAAACAUUGACUGUACUUUCACUUAAUCCUUCAAGUGAACAUAGCAGCUGUAGAUUUCCAUGUGGUUUUAGAAUUUUAUGUACAGUUUCUCUUUUUUGUUGUAGCUGUAUCUGUGUUAUUAUUGGUAUAAACAUGCCAAUUGAAUUAAAAUGAUUGUAAUUUC